rnacentral:misc_RNA from 1 species
UACUGGCAGGAUCAACCAGGUAGCAUUCCUCGCCGUCGCCGAACGCCGCAUGAGCCGCGCCCCGAGGGCUCGGCCAAAACGGGAACGGCCGUCGCGCGCGCGAUGCGUCGAACGCUUGUUUUCGGGGCAAGAUAGAGGUCGGCGACCUCGUACCCAUCGGGUCUUCCGCAUCCGAGAGAUCGAGCCGAGCGCCGUGCGCCGACGACCGCGGAGAGCCGCCCGGGUCGGGGAGCACGGCGAGCGCUUCGAUGCCCUCCCCACACCGCAACCCCGAGGGGCGCGGCGCGGGGAGGAGAAGGGACAUUUUUCGCAACGGCAUGCCUUCGCGAUGGGUAGGCAGCACAGGAAACCGACACGGGACAAGGCAACUCGCAACUUGGGCCGACCCUUGAAGAGGCGUGCACGGGGUGCCGUCGCUGCCCGAGCAGGGAACCGACACGCCCGUGCAGGCCAAUCA